CUCGGAACCCAGUCACCAUUCUGUGAGGAAGGCCAUACAAGGAGAGGCCUGUGUGGGGAGGAGCUGGGCCCCCAGCCUCCUGCCAGCAUCAGCCACCAGACAUAUUUCAAGCUCCAGCAUCAGACUCUGAGACAACAGCUGUACAGAAGCUGCUUAACCAGUUCCCACAACUGUGAAGAGGAGAGGACAUUCAGAGACAGACACAAAGGAAGAUGGCUGCGUGAUGCAGAGGCAGAGGCUGGAGGGAUGUGUCUACAAGCCAGGGGACCCGCGGAUAGUGGAGAACCACCAGAAACCAGGAAGAGGCAGGAAGGACCCGCCCCUAGAGCCCUUGGAGGGGGUGUGGCCCUGCCGACACCUUGAUCUUGGACUUCCAGCCUCAAACUGCCUUGAGAAAACGUUCUCAGCGUCGCUUUAUCCUCCUCCUGCGGCUCAUCAGCAUCCUUAACAACAUUCCUCGUCCGCGCAAAUGGGGAAGUGGAGGUGCAAAGGGAAAUAGACGGCUUAAAUCGACGAAGCUCUCCCUUUACUCUGAUUCAUGGUUUUCAUUUGGCCCAUUGGACCUUUUCUGGCGCUUGUAUCUUAAGACUUCGCUUACUAUCGCAGCGUUAUUUAUUUUAUAAAUCCACCUCCUUAAACCCAGUGAAAACCAAUUUUUCAAAGCAGCCUUUUCCAUUUCGUGAAUAUGAAAAAAAAAAAAAAGAAAGAAAAGGUGGUAAAUCAGAAACUGCUUAUCUCAGAUACUUAUUUUAUCUUUCCAGCACCGGCCCUUAGAGAUCAGGGGCCAGAAUCAGAUAGAGCCCCUUGCUCUUUCGGGAGUCUUCCACCACUUACGUAACAACCCGGCUGCCAUCGAAGGUGGUUGCAGACUGGCCACCGGCUGAAUUGAAUGCUUUCCUUCGCUGUAGUCCACUUGACUCAGGCUCAAUAAGCCAUAAAAAAAAGGAUCCUCUGCCAGUCUGACAGCCUCUGCUUCAGAGAGAGAAAUUGUUUGCAGCAGCAGAAUUCAUUCUCCAGAUUCCAAAACUUUCCAUCCAGAGUGCAGGAAUGGCAGUGGUGGUGAAGCUGAAAAUGGAAGCAACACUGACAUUCUCCUUAAAUGUGAGAGUGAGUUUUCGACCAGGGAAGCUUGAGAAUGUGAAGGACGGGUCCAGACACCGCCAUCUCCAGGAUGCUGGAAGCAGCUACACCUGCAUAAACAAACUCGCACACCUGCUGGAUGGGGCGUCCUUUAAAUAGACAUUAAACGGGAUUGGCGUGAUGUGCCUUCGAAGUCACGUCGUGAUUAACUGCACCUGUGGCUGAUGUACUCACAAAAGCUGUCGAGUUGCAGGUAAAGGGAGACGAAUAUGGAAAGACAUUCUGGUUGUUUGGGGAUCUUUGUCACUUGCUCCUGACAGAUGUUUUUGGGUUUUUGCCUCUGGGUCUUGACAGAUGUUCUCCACUUAACUUCCCUGAGGUUUCUGGCAGAUUGGAAGGAAUGAUCUGUAAUCUUUUUUCCCUUUUAAAAAACAUUUUCUGAGACUUGAAAAUUUGAGAACAUAAAUAUUGCCGCCCCAGUCUCCUCUUAUUUGGUGAUUUCUAACAAGUGUCCAGUGUACAAAUAAAAC